UCCCACUAUCACAUGCAGAUGUGUCACUUUGCAAUGGGGCAAUGAUGAAUAGUACACAGAACAACCAAAUAAGUUUUUACGAUUUAUAAACAAUUUAAAGAUAUUUUAAAGUGUUAUGUACUGUUCUAAUUCCAGAGAUGUUUAUUUAUGUAAAUGGUGUGAGGCUUUACCAUGUAUAUAAUAGGCCAAUGGCUAUGCUGUGCACGCGAAACAUGUCCUGCCCCUUUAAAUCACGAAGGGAGUUACCAUGGAAACUGAAGGAGCACGAGGACAGCUAGCUCCGUCUCCCGCGGUUUCUUCGCUGUUUUCAAGAGUGACAAAAACCCUCUAUAAUAGAAGAGAAGCUCAAGAUUUCAACAUUUUCUGAAGGGAGUUGCAGACAGAUUUGUCCAUGCUAAUGGCCGAGCAGUAGGGUUGGAACAGACCUGUCAGAAAACAUCUCUGAACCAUAUGACUAAUUUCAAAACAAUUUAUUCUUGAGAGGAGGCACCACAGUUAAAGACAGUGUUUUGAAGAAUUUUGAACUUCCUGCUCACAAACUACAUACUUCUCCAGUUAGUCUGACAGGCUAUCAAUGAGAAUGCGGCAUUACAGGACACCACUGAAAACUAUACCACUAAAAACUGAUUAUUGCUGCAGUCAGAAGAAACAGAUUAACAGCAACUAUCUGCUUGAGACCAAGAGAUUGAGCACUGGGUUAAGACAUGGUUGCAGCUUGCCACAGACAGAAAUGAAGGUCGUUGGGCAAAAGAGAAGAUUUAAAGCCAUAGCUCACCCAAAAAUGGAAACUCAUUUACUUACCAUCAAGAUGUUUCAAACUCUAUCAAAUGUAUUUGUUCUGUUACUGACUGUUAUAAAUUAUACAGGUUUGGAACAACCUUUCGGUGAGCAAAAUUACAGUUUUAAUUUUAAUUAGUGAACUAUCCCUAUUGUGAGUUUAUUAAGAAAUGUUGAGUAUUAUAUCAGAGUUUUGUAUGUAAGGAGAUGGUAGUUGUACGUUUGUGUGUUAAUAUAGAUGGUUUCAGUGGCAACAACAUAAAUCACUUUCAUGGCCCAAACUUAACUUCGGGUAGACCUCCACAUAGAUUCAAUAACAACCGAGUAUCUCUGGAGCAGUUUUUUUUCUGAUAACAAACAAAAUAAAUAACCAGUAAAUAGCCUUAGAUCAAAUCAUAGCUAAAGCAUUUCAACCAUUACAUUGAUCUAAUGUUACUGGGUAAAAUUAAGCUUUACAAUUUUAGCUACAGAUCUUUGAAAAUGUUUGUAUGGUAUACUGUCCAUUUCCAGAAAGGUAAUAAAAACAGCGUGCACAGUGACGCUGCUGACGUGUUAUCCUCAGACAUGUUUGUGAAAAUUGUUUUGUUUAUAGCGUGCGUCUCCCUCAGACUGUAAAAAAAGCUUGGGAACAAGAAAAAGCUUGGGCAAACAAGAUAACAUGUCAGCAGCGUCACUCCAGUGUUGUGCACGAGGUUCACAACAGACCUGGAAGAGAAGACGAUGCUGAAUAAAGUCAUAAUUUCUGUUAUUUUUGGACCAAAAUUUAUUUUCGAUGCUUCAACACAUUCUAACUGACCCACUGAUAUCACAUGGACUACUUUGAUGAUGUACAGUAUAUAUUUGAUCGUGUAUACACAUAUCUAAAACAUCUUAAACUGUUUCCGAAGAUGAACGGAGGUGUUACGGGUUUGGAAUGACAUGAGGGUCAUUAAUUACAUAAUUUUCAUUUUGGAUGAAAUAACCCUUUAAGUUUGGCCAGGUGUGUAACUGUGGCAACGCACAUGCAUCUAUGGGUUCCAGUAUAUCUUACUAUAUAACAUAUUAAUUUAACUAACAUGUUUGACAAAUAUAAUUAUGUUUAUUUAUAAAUUAUUAUCUGUAUUGGAUUUUUUAAAUGUUUAAUAAAGAAAUUUUGACUAUA